rnacentral:misc_RNA from 1 species
UCCGAGUUGACCCCGGCAGUCUCCCAUGAGUCCCCGGCAUCACCCGCUGGCAACAUGGAACAAGGGUUGCGCUCGUUGCGGGACUUAACCCAACAUCUCACGACACGAGCUGACGACAGCCAUGCACCACCUGCACACCAACCACAAGGGAACGCCUAUCUCUAGACGCGUCUGGCGCAUGUCAAACCCAGGUAAGGUGGGGAUGACGUAUCCUCAUGCGUU